AAACUUUUAGCGGCGGAUCUCUUGGCUCAAGCAUCGAUGAAGAACGCAGCGAAAUGCGAUAACUAGUGUGAAUUGCAGAAUUCAGUGAACCAUCGAGUCUUUGAACGCACAUUGCGGCCGCCGGCACUCCGGCGGCCACACCUGUCCGAGCGCCACUA
rnacentral:rRNA from 2 species